rnacentral:tRNA from 1 species
UGAAAAAUAAUUUAACAAAAAUAGAAGACUUCAAAUCUUACCUUACUAAUACACCUAGUUUUUUCAG